rnacentral:rRNA from 1 species
GACGUAGGGCGCGAGCGUUGUCCGGAUUUAUUGGGCGUAAAGAGCUCGUAGGCGGCUUGUUGCGUCGACCGUGAAAACCCGCGGCUUAACUGUGGGCUUGCGGUCGAUACGGGGCGGGCUGGAGUUCGGUAGGGGAGACUGGAAUUCCUGGUGUAGCGGUGAAAUGCGCAGAUAUCAGGAGGAACACCGGUGGCGAAGGCGGUCUGCUGGGCAGUUGCUGACGCUGAGGCGCGACAGCGUGGGGAGCAAACAGG